UACAUGUCACAAGUGUCUUUUAUGCAAGUCUAGUACGUCUCGUAUUCAGAAAGAAAGUGUGUUUUAUGCAAGUCUGGUAAGGAAAAAGAGACUAUAUGGCUUACCUCACCGCGAACCUUAACAGCCUCAGCUUCGGCUUCUGCCUCAAGCACGGUCUUCAGUCUGUGAGCUUCGGCUAACUUCUCCAGUUUGAACUUCUCUGCUUCAGCAGGCCUGUAAUAAACAUGCAAUAUUUUGGUACAAUAAAGUGUCAUUGUUUU